AAAUAGUGUAGUUCUACUGUUUAUAUAUAAUAUUUGAUCUUCUGUCUUAUUUAAAACAAAUAUAAUUGUUAUUAUUAUUAUUAUUAUUAGAUGAUAAAACAUGAAUAGUAUAUUAUUUGUGACUUUUUUAAAAUUAUUUCAUAAGUUUUUAAAUAAGACGGACAGUCAAACGUUGAACACGAAAAGUCAUGACUACACUUAAA
rnacentral:pre_miRNA from 1 species